rnacentral:lncRNA from 1 species
UGGCUGAGAUGAACUCUUUUUUAGAAAAACUGCAAGUUUAACUGGGACUUGCAAGUUUAACCAACAUUGUUAUAAUUGGUCUUUUAUUUUUUCUUUUUCUUUUUUUUUUUUAAUCUUUGAGAAUAGCAUAUAGAAAUCAAAGAAACUGUCAUCAAAUCAAAUUUGUAGGACUAUUAGAAACCAUCUUGUUCAAUGCAGGCCAGCCAGUAAGUGUUCACUAAAUGGACUGUCCUAUUACUCAACAGUAAUUGUGAAACAGUAAUUGUGAAAAUGUUGAGUGUAAGUUGUUUUAAUUCCUAUUUAUUUUUGGUUCCAUUCUUGAAAGAACUAGCUAUUCCACACGUCAACCUCCAGUUAUUUAAAGAUGAAUUAUAUCUUUAGCCUUCACUUCUUCAGGCUUAACAUUUUAUUGUUUGUCACAUAUCCUGAGUUUGUCUGGAUCAUUUAUAUAUAGGAGUUAUAUCUUUUCAAUUGUUUAUUGCUUAGACACAGUAAUGGUUAACUUGGCUAAGUUUCUUCUUAUAGGCCAGAUUGUUCAUCAAUGAACUAUUCAUUUCUAAUUCUGGUAUAUUUUUAUGUCUAGUGAAACCAGAUGAGCUCUAGCAGUACAUAUUUUUAUUUUAUUGUUUGUAACUCAGAUGGCCUUGAGUGUGAUCUUAUCUGUCUUCUGAGUUCCAGCUGUAUGCUACCAUAGCGAGGCCUCAAACAAGGUUUCAGUACUAAUUACAUAUCAAAUGUGUUCUUUUUGUUGUUUAGUCCAGGCUGGGUUAGAAUUCAUAUCAAUCCUCCUCACUCAGUUUCUGAAGUGAUGUACACAGGCACCAUGCACAAUUUAAUUUUUUAAGUCAUUUCAAAGAAAAUAAAAUGAAGGGGCUGGUGAGAUGGUUCAGUGAGUAAGAGCACUGACUGCUCUUCCGAAGAGUAUUUCAAUUCCCAGCAACCACAUGGUGGCUUAUAACCACCCAUGAGAUCUGACACCCUCUUCUGGCACGUCUGAAGGUAGCUACAAUGUACUUAUUUAUAAUAAUAAUAAUAAUAAUAAAUAAAUAAAUAAAUAAAUCUUUGGGCCAAGCCUGGACGCCUUUAAUCCCAGCACUUGGGAGGCAGAGGCAGGCGAAUUUCUGAGUUCGAGGCCAGCCUGGUCUACAGAGUGAGUUCCAGGAUAGCCAGGACUAUACAGAGAAACCCUGUCUCAAAAACAAACAAACAAACAAAAGAAACAACAAAAACAAAUCUUUGGGCUAGAGUAAGCAGGGUUUGAGUGAGUAGGGCCAACUGGAGUGAGCAGGGUUGACCAACAACCAGAUCAAGGCUCACAACUAUCUCUACAGCUACAGUGUAUACUCAUAUACAUAAAAUAAAUAAUUUUAAAAAAGAAAAAAUUAAAAAGUGAAUAUAAAAAGACACUGUUAGGAGGCUGAAAGUCCCAUAUUAGUCAUAUAUGAUGAGGGUACUGCACUGGUUGUGAAGGCUAUUCGGGAUCUAGCCUAUAUAUAUGCUACUGUUUUAUAGCUCAUAUUAAGAGUAUAGAUUCCUCGGCCAGCAAAAUCACUCAAAGGGUAGAGCGACUACCAAUGCCAAACCUGCCGCCUUGAGCUCAGUCUCUAGACCAUCGAUAUGGUUGAAAAGGAGAAGGGACUCCUUCAACACAUCCUUUGACCUCCACAUUCACAAUGGUAUGUCAGCACCAACACAUACACAAAUAAAUAUAAUAAAGAGAAUAAGAUUUUUGUAGUUAAGCCCACAUAGGCAGUUGUAGUGUAGGACUUUGCAACUCACCUUCCCAGGCCUCUAAGCAUGACUAUGUUGAAAAUGAAAGAAUUAUAAAAGCUCAUGUGGUCAGGCAAUGGUGGUGGUGCACGCUUUUAAUCCCAGCACUUGGGAGGCAGAGGCAGGAGGAUUUCUGAGUUCAAGGCAAGCCUGAUCUAUAGAGUGAGUUCCAGGACAGCCAGGGCUACACAGAGAAACCCUGUCUCGAAAAGCAAAACAAACAAACAAACAAAAGCUCAUGUGGGGCUGGAAAGAUGGCUCAGUGGUUAAGAGCACCAACUGUUCUUCCAGAGGUCCUGAGUUCCAUUCCCAGCAACCACAGGGUGGCUCACAACCAUCUGUAAUGGGAUCCGAUGCCCUCUUCUGGGGUGUCUGAAGGCAGCAACAGUGUACUCAUACAUUAAGUGAAUAAAUAAAUCUUUAAAAAAAAAAAAAAGCUCAUGUGGUUAUUUAGGACUCAAUCCAGAUUUUCAUAUAUUAAUAGAACAGUGAAUUAAAAAACCCCAAGGCUAUAGGAAAGGAGCUAAAUGCUGCUUGUAAACCACCUCAGGCAGUGGACAGAGAGCUCUGCAGAUGAAGGUGCAUUUCCACAUUAGCUUAAGCUUAUGGUUAGUUCUAACUGAAUUUUAUUUGAUGAGGCACCAAUUUCUAUAGGCCACAUUUUUUUAAACCAUAAACAUGUUCUAGUUCUUUAGAUGUAUUGUAAACUGUUGCAUGUUGGACUUAUAUUUAUUUUAGAAUUUAAAGUUUGGAAUUUAGACCUGCUGGCAGGUGAAAUACUAAACUACUGUAACACUCAUCACUGACCCAGAUUGUGUGUGUGUGUGUUUGUGUGUGUGUGUGUGUGUGUAUUUCCAAUUGUAUACACGAUGAUGGUGGGGGUAGGGAAUGGAACUAUUUUAGACUUAAUAACCAACUGCUGGUACAUUUGAGCCUAAAGUGGUUUCUUAAAAGCUUUGCAGAGUUGACUGCCUAGGAUGGAUCAAUUUAAUGCCAUCCUAUGAGUCUAGGAAAUGAAAAGGCCUAGUGUUACUUUUCAAUUACCAAAAUUAGUUUUCUGUCUUAGCUGAGGUAAACAACAGUCUACUAAUAAUUUUGUGACCAAUAAAAUCGGGUCUUACAGUUGCAAGUGUAUCCACUGAUGUAGAUGAGAAAAAUUCAGAAGUUAAAGUUAAAAUAGGAAAGCCGGUCCAUCCCGGUAGUGAACGCUUUAAAUCCCAGCACCUGGGAGAAGAGGAAGGUGGGUCUCUGAAUUCAGGGCCAGCCUGGUCUACAUAGACAUUACCUGAUCAGUCAUCCAGGGCUUCAAAGUGAGAUUCAGACUCAAAAAAUAAUACAGUCAAGUGAUGGUUUUAUCCCCCACCCCAGGUUUCUCUAAAAAUAUAAUUACUAUAAUUAUAGGGGUCGUUACAGGGGGUUAUUUUGUUGGCUUUGGUCUCCACCAUAGUUUUCCAGUUUUUUCAAAGAGUGAACUUAUGCCUCGGGUAUGUUAGGUAAAAUGUUUUAAAACUGGGACUGACCAUGUAGUCUAGGCCUUGGAGUUACUAUCCUCGCUUUUCCUCUGGAGUCUAAGCAUUACAGGUCUGCUUGUCAUGUCCAGUAAAUGAGUCUCCUUGCCUCCCUUCCUUUCUUCGAUGCCUGGGAAUCGAACUAAAGACCUUGGGCAUGCCAGGCAAGUUUUGUAUCACAGACCUAAAUCCCCAGCCUAAAUGAGGGUUUUUAUGGACACCUUUCUUAGUCACCGUAUAGGUAUGUUGGUUUAUUCUGAUGGGAGGCUUAGUUGUCUUCCUACUCAAGCGAGAUUACCGGCAUUCUUUGUCUCCCCCAACUCCCCCGUUUUAUGGAAUAACAAUAAUAAUAUUACUCUGGUCAAUUUUCAUAGACUCAAAUAUAGCUAGGUUAUUUCCAGGUCACACAUAAAAACGUUAAAUCC